rnacentral:lncRNA from 1 species
UUCAGGGAAGAGUUCACUUCUUCAAACAGGAGGCAUGUUGGCACAGGAAUGGGGGAUGCUCGAGAGUCCAAAGCAUAGCUCAUCCAUGGAGUUAUGUUGUGAAUGCUGAUGAAAGCAUGUGUGUCCAGGUGAUGAGGUCUCUGGAGCGCUGGCUGGUUUUGGCUCUCAGUUUUAGAGGACCUCAGCCUGUCUGGGUGGGGAAGGAGUGUGGCUGCCUCAGGAGAGGAGCGCCCCGUGUCAAUACUGCCUCAGUUUGUCAACUUGUCCAAGUCCGGGAGGCAGACAAAGCCAGCCCAGAGCUUUCAAAUGUCGACGCCUGGCCGAAUCCAUUUGUAGACAAGGGCACAGAGCUAGAGUUCCCUUUUGUCAGUGCCUCUAAGGAUGUCUUGGGUCAGUCUGGCUCCCACACUGUGCCCAUUGUGAGGAUGGAGAAAGUUGUAGCUGAAACCAUGACGACGCAGGCAUGUGACAAGGAAACACAGCACACGCUGCCAGGCUGAGAAUCUACCAUGGUGAGGACAGCUGGCAGCAGGUCAGAAGAGGACUGAGAGAUCACAGAGAAAGAAAACCACAAUUAGGCCAGACUACCGACCCUCAAAACCUGCCCCAAGCGAUGUGCUGCCAGCAAGACUCCACCUCCUGAAGCUUCCAGAAACUCCCGUAGCAGCACCAUCAACAGGAGACCAAGGGUCAAGGACCAUCCAAUAAACUCAUUAUCAAGACAAAGAUUUUUCUCCAUGGAGACCUGUUGUCGGUACAGACAACUUCUGGAAGAAAACAAAUAAGCAGGCAACUGUAGCCCUCAUCAGGCAGAGGCUCUGCGGUUCCCUUAUCUCAUGCUCUGCUUGCCUGCCCCAGUAGAGCCCAAGGAUAUUUGCAGGUCUCAUGUUUAAUUAGGGAAGCUAAAAUCAGAGAGGGAAAGUAACCAUUCAGAUGGCUCAAACAGUAAGCGGUCGAGUUAUGCUUGUGAAUAUUCAUAUCUUUGUAGCUCUGAUCACAAAAACAGCUGGAUUCUACCCAUUGACCUAAUCAAGAUCACACUUUGGGAAGGCCAGUCUAUAAAGUAUGUUCAAGUAUGAUGGAGGAGAGCCAGGAAGUCUCCAGGAAACUGCUAAAAAAAAUUCUAGGAAAGAAGAAAUGCAGAGAGACAAAUUUUUAGAAGCCAAUACUUCUUUUAAAAUGCAGUAUUUACCCGGGGCUACCCUCAAGGGGUAACUGUGAGAGCAGUGUUGGAUACAGAAAGCAUGAAGCUUGCAUGAGGCAGUUCAGUAGACCAGUCCCACGGACAGUAUAUGCCUCUCAAAAGGGGGAGACACCUACUUCUAAGCUUGGCUUUUCUUUAUGUCCAAGCCCUGCAGCUCCACCAAGUAGCACUCCAUCAAGGACCAGCAGCUAGCCCCUGCUUCAGAAGCUGCAAAAAAGGGCAACCAACACCUGGAAAAGGAGAGGUUUGAAGUCACCUAAUUUAUCAGCAGCAAUAGCAGCACUUCGGAUGACCAGGGCAGCCCUUUCCCUCCAGCCCACAGAGCACGGGUUCUGAAGAACUCUGAGAGCAAUGGUACACCUUCAUGCCUGUGUUGUGCUGACAGAGUAUCUCAGAGCCCUGGCUGGAGUGGCACUAUUGGAAGGUCACUGAGACAGAGCAAUUGAGAAAAGACUGUGUGCCAGCGUUU